UACGGAGGGUGCAAGCGUUAAUCGGAAUUACUGGGCGUAAAGCGCACGCAGGUGGCUGAGUCAGUCGAUUGUGAAAGCCCUGGGCUUAACCUGGGAAUUGCAGUCGAUACUACUCAGCUAGAGUAUGGGAGAGGGUAGUGGAAUUCCCGGUGUAGCGGUGAAAUGCGUAGAUAUCGGGAGGAACAUCAGUGGCGAAGGCGGCCUGCUGGGCUGUUGCUGACGCUGAGGCGCGACAGCGUGGGGAGCAAACAGG
rnacentral:rRNA from 1 species